AUGAAGCACUGGAGGAGCAACUUAAAGCCCACGUGUAGUAUGAAGCGGUGGAGGAGCAACUUAAAGCCCACGUGUAGUAUGAAGCGGUGGAGGAGCAACUUAAAGCCCACGUGUAGUAUGAAGCGGUGGAGCAACUUAAAGCCCACGUGUAGUAUGAAGCGCUGGAGGAGCAACUUAAAGCCCACGUGUAGUAUGAAGCGGUGGAGGAGCAACUUAAAGCCCACGUGUAGUAUGAAGCGCUGGAGGAGCAACUUAAAGCCCACGUGUAGUAUGAAGCGGUGGAGGAGCAACUUAAAGCCCACGUGUAGUAUGAAGCGGUGGAGGAGCAACUUAAAGCCCACGUGUAGUAUGAAGCGGUGGAGGAGCAACUUAAAGCCCACGUGUAGUAUGAAGCGCUGGAGGAGCAACUUAAAGCCCACGUGUAGUAUGAAGCGGUGGAGGAGCAACUUAAAGCCCACGUGUAGUAUGAAGCGCUGGAGGAGCAACUUAAAGCCCACGUGUAGUAUGAAGCGGUGGAGGAGCAACUUAAAGCCCACGUGUAGUAUGAAGCGGUGGAGCAACUUAAAGCCCACGUGUAGUAUGAAGCACUGGAGGAGCAACUUAAAGCCCACGUGUAGUAUGAAGCACUGGAGGAGCAACUUAAAGCCCACGUGUAGUAUGAAGCGGUGGAGCAACUUAAAGCCCACGUGUAGUAUGAAGCACUGGAGGAGCAACUUAAAGCCCACGUGUAGUAUGAAGCACUGGAGGAGCAACUUAAAGCCCACGUGUAGUAUGAAGCACUGGAGGAGCAACUUAAAGCCCACGUGUAGUAUGAAGCACUGGAGGAGCAACUUAAAGCCCACGUGUAGUAUGAAGCGGUGGAGGAGCAACUUAAAGCCCACGUGUAGUAUGAAGCACUGGAGGAGCAACUUAAAGCCCACGUGUAGUAUGAAGCACUGGAGGAGCAACUUAAAGCCCACGUGUAGUAUGAAGCGGUGGAGGAGCAACUUAAAGCCCACGUGUAGUAUGAAGCGGUGGAGCAACUUAAAGCCCACGUGUAGUAUGAAGCGCUGGAGGAGCAACUUAAAGCCCACGUGUAGUAUGAAGCGGUGGAGGAGCAACUUAAAGCCCACGUGUAGUAUGAAGCACUGGAGGAGCAACUUAAAGCCCACGUGUAGUAUGAAGCACUGGAGGAGCAACUUAAAGCCCACGUGUAGUAUGAAGCACUGGAGGAGCAACUUAAAGCCCACGUGUAGUAUGAAGCGCUGGAGGAGCAACUUAAAGCCCACGUGUAGUAUGAAGCGGUGGAGGAGCAACUUAAAGCCCACGUGUAGUAUGAAGCGGUGGAGCAACUUAAAGCCCACGUGUAGUAUGAAGCACUGGAGGAGCAACUUAAAGCCCACGUGUAGUAUGAAGCACUGGAGGAGCAACUUAAAGCCCACGUGUAGUAUGAAGCGGUGGAGGAGCAACUUAAAGCCCACGUGUAGUAUGAAGCGGUGGAGGAGCAACUUAAAGCCCACGUGUAGUAUGAAGCGGUGGAGGAGCAACUUAAAGCCCACGUGUAGUAUGAAGCGCUGGAGGAGCAACUUAAAGCCCACGUGUAGUAUGAAGCGGUGGAGGAGCAACUUAAAGCCCACGUGUAGUAUGAAGCGCUGGAGGAGCAACUUAAAGCCCACGUGUAGUAUGAAGCGGUGGAGGAGCAACUUAAAGCCCACGUGUAGUAUGAAGCGGUGGAGCAACUUAAAGCCCACGUGUAGUAUGAAGCACUGGAGGAGCAACUUAAAGCCCACGUGUAGUAUGAAGCACUGGAGGAGCAACUUAAAGCCCACGUGUAGUAUGAAGCGGUGGAGGAGCAACUUAAAGCCCACGUGUAGUAUGAAGCGGUGGAGCAACUUAAAGCCCACGUGUAGUAUGAAGCACUGGAGGAGCAACUUAAAGCCCACGUGUAGUAUGAAGCACUGGAGGAGCAACUUAAAGCCCACGUGUAGUAUGAAGCACUGGAGGAGCAACUUAAAGCCCACGUGUAGUAUGAAGCACUGGAGGAGCAACUUAAAGCCCACGUGUAGUAUGAAGCGGUGGAGGAGCAACUUAAAGCCCACGUGUAGUAUGAAGCACUGGAGGAGCAACUUAAAGCCCACGUGUAGUAUGAAGCGGUGGAGGAGCAACUUAAAGCCCACGUGUAGUAUGAAGCGGUGGAGCAACUUAAAGCCCACGUGUAGUAUGAAGCGCUGGAGGAGCAACUUAAAGCCCACGUGUAGUAUGAAGCGGUGGAGGAGCAACUUAAAGCCCACGUGUAGUAUGAAGCACUGGAGGAGCAACUUAAAGCCCACGUGUAGUAUGAAGCACUGGAGGAGCAACUUAAAGCCCACGUGUAGUAUGAAGCACUGGAGGAGCAACUUAAAGCCCACGUGUAGUAUGAAGCACUGGAGGAGCAACUUAAAGCCCACGUGUAGUAUGAAGCACUGGAGGAGCAACUUAAAGCCCACGUGUAGUAUGAAGCGCUGGAGGAGCAACUUAAAGCCCACGUGUAGUAUGAAGCGGUGGAGGAGCAACUUAAAGCCCACGUGUAGUAUGAAGCGGUGGAGCAACUUAAAGCCCACGUGUAGUAUGAAGCACUGGAGGAGCAACUUAAAGCCCACGUGUAGUAUGAAGCGGUGGAGGAGCAACUUAAAGCCCACGUGUAGUAUGAAGCACUGGAGGAGCAACUUAAAGCCCACGUGUAGUAUGAAGCGGUGGAGGAGCAACUUAAAGCCCACGUGUAGUAUGAAGCGGUGGAGCAACUUAAAGCCCACGUGUAGUAUGAAGCGCUGGAGGAGCAACUUAAAGCCCACGUGUAGUAUGAAGCGGUGGAGGAGCAACUUAAAGCCCACGUGUAGUAUGAAGCACUGGAGGAGCAACUUAAAGCCCACGUGUAGUAUGAAGCACUGGAGGAGCAACUUAAAGCCCACGUGUAGUAUGAAGCACUGGAGGAGCAACUUAAAGCCCACGUGUAGUAUGAAGCACUGGAGGAGCAACUUAAAGCCCACGUGUAGUAUGAAGCACUGGAGGAGCAACUUAAAGCCCACGUGUAGUAUGAAGCGCUGGAGGAGCAACUUAAAGCCCACGUGUAGUAUGAAGUGGUGGAGGAGCAACUUAAAGCCCACGUGUAGUAUGAAGCGGUGGAGCAACUUAAAGCCCACGUGUAGUAUGAAGCGGUGGAGGAGCAACUUAAAGCCCACGUGUAGUAUGAAGCGGUGGAGGAGCAACUUAAAGCCCACGUGUAGUAUGAAGCGGUGGAGGAGCAACUUAAAGCCCACGUGUAGUAUGAAGCGGUGGAGGAGCAACUUAAAGCCCACGUGUAGUAUGAAGCGGUGGAGGAGCAACUUAAAGCCCACGUGUAGUAUGAAGCACUGGAGGAGCAACUUAAAGCCCACGUGUAGUAUGAAGCGGUGGAGGAGCAACUUAAAGCCCACGUGUAGUAUGAAGCGGUGGAGGAGCGGUGGGCCUCGGGACACCGUGCUACUUGUUUCAGAUCGUUUUGUCAGUUUGGCAAAAACAAUUCUUUGA
ensembl:lncRNA